AGGAAUAUUGGUCAAUGGACGAGAGUCUGAACCAGCCAAGUAGCGUGAAGGAUGACUGCCCUAUGGGUUGUAAACUUCUUUUAUACGGGAAUAAAGUGAGCCACGUGUGGCUUUUUGUAUGUACCGUAUGAAUAAGGAUCGGCUAACUCCGUGCCAGCAGCCGCGGUAAUACGGAGGAUCCGAGCGUUAUCCGGAUUUAUUGGGUUUAAAGGGAGCGUAGGCGGGUUGUUAAGUCAGUUGUGAAAGUUUGCGGCUCAACCGUAAAAUUGCAGUUGAUACUGGCGACCUUGAGUGCAACAGAGGUAGGCGGAAUUCGUGGUGUAGCGGUGAAAUGCUUAGAUAUCACGAAGAACUCCGAUUGCGAAGGCAGCUUGCUGGACUGUAACUGACGCUGAUGCUCGAAAGUGUGGGUAUCAAACAGGAUUAGAUACCCUGGUAGUCCACACAGUAAACGAUGAAUACUCGCUGUUUGCGAUAUACAGUAAGCGGCCAAGCGAAAGCGUUAAGUAUUCCACCUGGGGAGUACGCCGGCAACGGUGAAACUCAAAGGAAUUGACGGGGGCCCGCACAAGCGGAGGAACAUGUGGUUUAAUUCGAUGAUACGCGAGGAACCUUACCCGGGCUUGAAUUGCAACUGAAUGAUGUGGAGACAUGUCAGCCGCAAGGCAGUUGUGAAGGUGCUGCAUGGUUGUCGUCAGCUCGUGCCGUGAGGUGUCGGCUUAAGUGCCAUAACGAGCGCAACCCUUAUCGAUAGUUACCAUCAGGUUAUGCUGGGGACUCUGUCGAGACUGCCGUCGUAAGAUGUGAGGAAGGUGGGGAUGACGUCAAAUCAGCACGGCCCUUACGUCCGGGGCUACACACGUGUUACAAUGGGGGGUACAGAAGGCAGCUACACGGCGACGUGAUGCUAAUCCCGAAAGCCUCUCUCAGUUCGGAUUGGAGUCUGCAACCCGACUCCAUGAAGCUGGAUUCGCUAGUAAUCGCGCAUCAGCCACGGCGCGGUGAAUACGUUCCCG
rnacentral:rRNA from 1 species